ACAUUCACCAAGGGGAGUCCCGGCAAGGGGCUGAGAGACCGCUGGCGCAAGCAGCGCGGUGACCCUCCGAACCUGAUCCGGAUCAUGCCGGCGAAGGGAUGGCGAUUUUUCCUGCU
rnacentral:ncRNA from 1 species